AACGAACGCUGGCGGCAUGCCUAACACAUGCAAGUCGAACGAGACCUUCGGGUCUAGUGGCGCACGGGUGCGUAACGCGUGGGAACCUGCCCUUAGGUUCGGAAUAACUCCCCGAAAGGGGUGCUAAUACCGGAUAAUGUCUUCGGACCAAAGAUUUAUCGCCUUUGGAUGGGCCCGCGUUGGAUUAGCUAGUUGGUAGGGUAAAAGCCUACCAAGGUGACGAUCCAUAGCUGGUCUGAGAGGAUGAUCAGCCACACUGGGACUGAGACACGGCCCAGACUCCUACGGGAGGCAGCAGUGGGGAAUAUUGGACAAUGGGCGAAAGCCUGAUCCAGCAAUGCCGCGUGAGUGAUGAAGGCCUUAGGGUUGUAAAGCUCUUUUACCCGGGAUGAUAAUGACAGUACCGGGAGAAUAAGCUCCGGCUAACUCCGU
rnacentral:rRNA from 1 species